GAGACACAUGGAAGAGCCACUUGUGGCUCAUGAGCGUCAGGCUGAGUCUCACUGGUCUACCCAAUGAUGAGGCUCAGUUGGGAAGGUCAAACUGAGAGUUAGGGCUCCUGAGAGCCUGGGACACAACCUUAUGCUGCUAUAAGGCAGGGCAGGGUCUGGCUUGGGGUAAUCUCUCAGCAGCUAGAGGUGGCCCAUCUGUGGCCACAGCUCAAGUGCAGAGAGAGGAAAGGGAAGUGUCUGAAGUGAGGGAGGAGUCUCUAUUUUCUGAUUGAGCACUGCAGGGUGGCAAAUGCUCGGAGAUGCAGAGUAGGUGAUAAAGCAGCCAGCUAGCUGGAGUGAGCUUAGCAGGGGAAGUAAAGGGAAGAGAUGGUAGAAGCUAGAGAUGGAAGAGUCCUAUGGGGGCACCUGGGUCCAGGCUUGGCUAGGCCAGGACUGUUCCCUACAGCAGGGCCAUGUAAUGAAAGAGCCAUGCUGAGGGCAGGGAAAGGUCAAUGGCAUCUACUGAGAGCAGGCCAAACUGUGAGUUCAGCUGGGAAACUGGUAACCAGCUGAGGCCACUACAGACUGAGCUAUUGGACCAGCAACUUGAUCCAGGCCAGGACCAGCCUGCAAGGAUCUCUUAGCACUUCAGCCUGUGAUACUGAAGGAGCACAGUCUCCCUCUGCUCAGUGCCCAGAUGGAAUUUCCAGGGUCAAAGAAUCAUGUGCAUUUUGUGAUAAUUAGUCCAGAAGAUGCAGGCCAGGGAGAGCAAGGAUGCUGUGGUUGAAACCUCAGCUCAUGUACUCUGAGGCCUUUCAGCAGUAGCCUGAGCUGACCAAUGAAUGCCCCUUCCAGAGUAUCUCAGCUAGGAUUCAUUUACCUCAAGAAAGGGAUACCUGGGUCUGGGUUUCCUUUCUCCUGUCUGUCCAGGACUCUGCAUCAUCUUCUCCUGAUGGCUCCUGAGUGCUGGAUUGCAAAUGUUCCAACACCUCCAAAGAAAUGAUCACAGAAGGAGAGAAGAAAAACCUCCAAACUCCACCUUGCCCUACGAACUUCAGUCUAAACUGAGAUGCAAACCCACUAUUGCCAGCUCCCCGCAUUCAAUGAGAUUUUAAAAAUGAAAUAAAAUUUGGGCUCUUUUUGUUUC